AGUUUAUUGUGGAAUCUCACAGGGGUGGUGGAUUUGCAGGCUCAGAGACAGCGCCUGUUCACAUUGCCUACCACCCUGCCCCCAGAAAGAGGCUGGGGCCCCCAUGGUGUGCUAGGUGCCAUGUAGUGUCAUGAGUUUAUGAAUGAAUGGCUUAACCCUACUGCCUAAUCUGCCCCUUCCCUGGCUAAGCAAUGUCCCUGCUUGAGCCUUCGCCAAUGGACAAGGAAGGACAGGGGCUGAUACUGAGAAGGUGGGGGCAAGGGUUACAGAUGGAACUGAGGGGGAGAUGUGUGAGAUAUUUCCCAUGGAAUUCUGACCCAGCAUAAGGUCUGAUGUUUUUUCCACUUAAUUUCUUUGGUCCUUGAAGCUCCUCUUGAACAAGGGAACAGGAACUGUUGAUGAAAGGACUCAAACAGCCUCUUAAAGGUAUAGAUGGUAACUCUUACUUAAACAUUGAGGUUUUAGAAUGUUAAUGAAACAAAAUGAUUAAAUAAAUCACUGAAAUAA